rnacentral:rRNA from 1 species
AUUGAACGCUAGCGGGAUGCCUUACACAUGCAAGUCGAACGGAGUGGCGAACGGGUGAGUAAUGCAUCGGAACGUGCCCAGUAGCGGGGGAUAACUACGCGAAAGCGUAGCUAAUACCGCAUACUAUCGGAGCGGCCGAUAUCGGAUUAGCUAGGUGGUGGGGUAACGGCUCACCAAGGCGACGAUCCGUAGCUGGUUUGAGAGGAUGAUCAGACACACGGGGACUGAGAAACGGCCCAGAAUCCUACGUGAGGCAGCAGUGGGGAAUUUGGGAUAAUGGGGGAAACCCUGAUCCAGCCAUCCCGCGUGUGCGAGGAAGGCCUUCGGGUUGUAAAGCAUUUUUAGCAGGGAAGCGGUACCAGCAGAAUAAGCACCGGCUAACUACGUGCCAGCAGCCGCGGUAAUAC